CAGACCGAGGAGCGCUGCAACGGGCAUUGUCCCGCGAGGCUCGGCAAGGAAGGAUCGCUACAACGGCGCUCGUUCAUU
rnacentral:ncRNA from 2 species